rnacentral:rRNA from 1 species
AGAGUUUGAUCCUGGCUCAGAUUGAACGCUGGCGGCAUGCCUUACACAUGCAAGUCGAACGGUAGAGUAGCAAUACUCGAGAGUGGCAAACGGGUGAGUAAUAUAUCGGAACGUGCCCAUAUCGUGGGGGAUAACGUAGAGAAAUUUAACGCUAAUACCGCAUACGAUCUAAGGAUGAAAGCGGGGGAUUCGCAAGAACCUCACGACGAUUGGAGCGGACUGAUAUCAGAUCAGGUAGUGGGUGAGGUAAAAGCUCACCAAGCCGACGAUCUGUAGCAGGUUAGAGAGAACGACCAGCCACACUGGGACUGAGACACGGACCAGACUCCUACGGGAGGCAGCAGCGGGGAAUCACGGACAAUGGGCGAAAGCCUGAUCCAGCAAUGCCGCGUGCAGGAGAGAAGGCCUUCGGGUCGUAAACUGAUUUUGUACGGAACGAAAAGGCUCUAUCUAAUAAAGAGGGCCCAUGACGGUACCGUAAGAAUAAGCACCGGCUAACUAC